UCAACUCCUCUCUCUCUCUCUCACACACACACACACACACACACACACACACCUCGGUGUCCGUCGAUUCAUCGACCGAUCGAUCGAGAAGGGAAUUUCAGAAAGAGAUGAAGAUCACGGCUCUUCUAGUUCUGAAAUGCAUCGAAUCAUCGGGAUCGGAUCCGAUCGUUCUAGCCAACGCGUCGGAUGUGAGCCAGUUCGGCUAUUUCCAGCGCACUGGAGCCAAGGAAUUCAUCCUAUUCUUUGGCCGCACUGUCGCCAAAAGGACUCCGCCCGGGCAACGCCAAUCCAUCCAGCAAGAUGAAUACAAGGUGCAUUCUUACAACAGAGAUGGAUUAUGUGCUUUGGCCUUUAUGGAUGAACAUUAUCCCGUGCGAAGUGCAUUUUCUCUCCUCAACAAGGUAGUAGAUGAAUAUCAGAAGAACUUUGGGGAUUCUUGGAGAACAAUUCAGACAGAUUCAACUCAACCAUGGCCCUAUCUGAGUGAUGCUGUAACGAAAUUUCAGGAUCCUGCAGAGGCUGAUAAGUUGCUUAAAAUUCAGAGGGAUUUGGAUGAAACCAAAAUUAUCCUUCAUAAGACUAUUGAUAGUGUGCUUGCACGAGGCGAGAGGCUGGAUAGCUUAGUCGACAAGAGCUCUGAUCUGAGUGCAGCCUCCCAGAUGUUUUACAAGCAAGCCAAGCAAACUAAUCAGUGCUGUACGAUAUUGUAAACUUACUCGGGAGAAGCGAAGGUCUUUGAAAGAGACUUCUUAUGAGGUGAUUGGAGAUUGCUUCGCAUGUGAAGCUGUAAAUUGCUGAGGAAAGAGAUGGCGAAGAGGGUGUGUUUAUUCAUCUCUGAUGUGCAGAAAAGGAGGAAUUGAAAAUAAAGGGAGCUUGCAGAUUGUUUAUAGAUGUCAUUUUAUUUUUUUGCUUUUCCAAAUUCAAUAUUCCUUAACGUUUUUUAUUUUUUAGUGGUUGUGGGGGAGAGUAGAGAUAUAUAGCUUGAUUUUUGUUUAUAUUUCUUCUCAUUUCAACAAUAGGCUCUCACUUAUUUCAAUCCAGAUGGAUGGGGAUGUGAAAUUUCUUUUGUUUCA